rnacentral:lncRNA from 1 species
UUUUUUUUUUUGGUCUUUUUUUUAGGGCAGCCCCCACAGCAUAUAUAAGUUUCCAGGCUAGGGGUCAAAUCAGACCUGUAGCCGCCGGCCACAGCCACAGCAACACCAGAUCCAAGCCACAUUUGCAACCUACAUCGCGCAGCUCACGGCAACGCCAGAUCCUUACUCCACUGAGUGAGGCCAGGGAUCAAACCUAUGUCCUCAUGGAUACUAGUUGGGUUCGUUACUGCUGAGCCACAAGGGGAACGAACUCCCAAGAUGAUUAUUUUGAGUUUAUUGUGAAGUGGUUCAUGGACCUGCUUUAGUUUAAGGUCAGUUACUGGUGUUUUAUUAUUAGUUACUCUGGGGGUGUCAGGUGUGCCUGGUUCUUUGUGGUCCAUGCAGGCCUCUGCUGGCUUCUGUGCACGACUGGUUUCUGCAGGUGCAGACCUUCUCCUGCCUUGUCCUGGGCCCACGGGGCUGCCUCCGGGAUGGGUCCAGCAGGGCCAGAGCUGGGUCACGUGGCUGCUGCCUGGUCUGUGGUUGGGUCCUGGGCAUGGGCGGGUAUGGUUGCUGCUGGGUCCCUGGGCUGGUGAUGCUCCCUCUGGGACCACAGCUGAGCAGGUCAAGGGUGCUUCCGGGCCCCCCACUGGGUCCACGGUCAGUGUGCCUGUUCCCAGGUCCCUUGGCAGCUAGAGCCGGUGGAAGACCACAAACAAGCAGGUCUGGAGCUGAGUCCACGGUUGAGGGGUGGGGGUGGGCCUGCGUUCAGAUCUGCAGCCUGGCCACACCACAGCCAGCGGGCUGCCUCCCAGGGAGGGCCUGCCUCCAGGGCAGCUCUCCUUGGUCCUGGGCUCCACCGGGGCUUCACAACCUCCUACCUGGGUCCCCAGACCCCACGAGGCACCGUGUCUGUGGACGGCUGCCAGUCAUUGUUUCUGCAGAAGGACAAAGGCUGGGCCUCCUACUGCACCAUCUGACACCACCCCCAAGAAAUGGAUCUUGUACCCAGAGCCUGAUGCCGACAGCUGCCUGUGCCAGGCACUCCUCCUCUGCCAGCAUGUUUGUGCCUGUUUCUCAUUUAACCCUCCCCCUGCUCUAAGAGGUCAGUAUUGACUUCCUGAUUUAGAGACUAACCAGGGGAGCACAGGCAGAAGGAAGACCCAAGGGAACAGAUGGCUUUAGGUUUGCGAACACUCCAGAAAAGCUUUGCUCACCACCAGGAAACUGGCCCUUCAGGACAAGCCUCAAGGUCUCGGGGGGCCAGGAGCAGACUCGCUCUGCAGGGUCCAAGGCUAAGGGCGCCUUCCUUCCAUGGGCUGUUGGGUCUCCCAGUGCCAAGGGCACUGAUGCCUGAAUCACAGUGGAGAGAGGACUGAGCUGCUCUCCUGACCUCCAGUGUCCCCACAUUGGGGGCGGGGGGGCUUGUCCUUGCCGUGGGGUGAACCGGCAAUGACCCUCUCCCAGGGGACUCCCCCUUCUGGCCAAAGGUCUGGGUGGUGAGGUCAGCAGCGAGGGAUGAAGGAUGCGGUCAGAGGCCGAGCAGCACAGAGAAUCUUCCCCGGGCCGGGUGGGCAGUGCUGGCACAGUCUCUGCUCUGUCCUUUUUUUUUUUUUUUUUCUUUUUAUGGCCACACCUGCAGCCUUUGGAAGUUCCCAGGCCGGAGGUCAAAUCUGAGCUGCAGCUGCCAGCCUACACCACAGCCAUGGCGACACUGGGAUCCGAGUCACAUCUUCAACCUACACCGCAGUUUGUGGCAACCCCAGAUCCUUAACCCACUGAGCAAGGUGGGGAUCAAAACCACAUCCUCAUGGCUACUAGUCCGGUUCUUAACCUGCUGAGCCACAACAGGAACUCCUGCUCUGUCCUUUUUCAUUACUGCAAACUAGGGCGUCACCUGCAGCCUUUCGCAGCCCCUGGCGCUCCUCUGGCGACAAUCCACCCUCCAGCUACUCUGCCAUUCGGGCACCUCCCACAGUUAUGGUAGAAGGAAACAAGGAUCAUAACUGGGGGGCUUUAAGAAUGGGCCCCAGUUGGAGGCUUGUGCUGCACCAGGAAAUGGACACGCCUCACAAGGAAGGUACUAUCCAGCUUCCCAUUUCAGAGACUGAAAAACUGAGGCUUAGAGGGAGUGUGUGAGGCUUCAGCUAGUAAGUGGUGAGCCCCUGGCUCCAGCAGGAGUCUGAUCUCGGACAUCGCAGAGGUUUGGCUGUUCACAGUGUACCCACACGUCACAGGGCCCCGGUGGAUGGGUUUACAGGGGCCCCCAGACGGGGCCAGCCCUACGACUAUUACAGCCAAUAUGCGGAGAACCACCAGGCACAGAAACAGCUUCUGCCGGCCCUGGAGCACGCCUCCCUCCAGGGCCAGCAGAAGCCGUCUUUCAAGGCUAAUUUCCGUCUAGGUCCCUGGGUGGCUGGCAUGUGACUGAAGCACCCACCGCAGGUACAUCUACCAGAAGUAGUUCCCUUAUGAGUUUCUCCCGGUCCAUCAAGAGCCCCCGAGGCCCGGGCUACUGUCCAGGACGCCUCACCAUCACCCGCAAGCGUGACUUCCGUGAGGGUCCAAAAAGAGGUGCAGGAUGGAAGGACCAAGGUGGAGCAGCAGCUGGCGGGGGGCGGGGGGCAGCAAACACACCAGGGACUGUGGCCUGACACGCCUUCUUCUGUCUACACCCGCCUGCCUUCCCCUUUUGUCUGUUUUGUGAUAGUUAAUAUAGCAAACAGUCACUGCCUUCUUAGCCUGCAGGAAAGGCAACAACUGUUAUCUACCGCAAACCACUGAAGCCUUAAAUUGCGGCAGGAAUGGUGACAGUGAUAGAUUAGAAUUUUUUAAAUCAAACCCAAAUGUGUUCCUGUCACGGCUAAGAGAAGGGCCACGUUGACUUGAAAAUAAUUUACUUGGAAAAUUUUGCGAUGCAUGGUAAAUUAAGUCCCUCCCUCAGAACACUCUUUUUCUCCCUCUUCCAAAGUAUUAGUCCACUUAAUUGGUUCCCAGAGACUUCCUGCUAAGACUUAAAACUAUUACCACUGGGAGGAGAUUGAUGCAGGCCUGGACUGCAUCCAAGGGCAAGAUGGACAGUUCACUUUGAAAUCUAGAAAGGGGUGGGGCGGGGUGAUGGAUUUGAAAUCAAACAGGCUUUUUUCUCCAGCCUUGAAAGAUGGAACCAAAGAACAAGGAGAAAAUCAUCAGUGACGAGGGCUAAUGAAUCUUAAAUACUUACUACAAGAAAAAUUAAUUUGCUAAAUUGGCCCUGUAGAUACAGGUUAUAAAAUAAGCCACCGUCUCCGCAAAAUAUGUGAAACUCGGAGCAACCAAUGCAGCUCAGACGUAAGGCUGCACGGCCACGGCCACACUGGGGGGUCACGGUCUCCUUGCUGGGCACGGUCUGCGGUGGCCAGGGCUGUGCCUCUCUAUCGGACGCUGUGCCAGGAACCUCAGGGAUGUGAUCUCGGCAAAUCUCACUAUUUCCGGGGCUACUUUACCUCCAUCUGCAUGAGGGGGUGAGAACAUGCAUUCCUCCCAGUGCUGCCCGAAGGCUGGAUGCCGACACAGUUAACUCAUUCACACUUGGCACCAGUGACCUUAUCAUUUGCAUGAGUGCAAUGGUGACGUGACAUAACCUAACUUUGCAAAGUUAUACAGAUGCCAAGAGGCGGCAUCAGGCCCAGGUCUGUCUUGCCCGGGCUUGGUUCCUUAUUAAGAGACCAGACUUCACCCCCUGUGUUGACAGACAACAGCCUGGGAGUCCACAGGGCAGCAGAGAAGGCCAUCCGGGGGCAGGGCUGGUGUGAGGGCUGCCGGCACGUAACCCUGGCUGAAGGGGCGCCUGGGGAACGAGGGUCAGACCACCCAGCGCUGCCCUCGGCUUCCUCCCAGCCGCACGCACCGCAGGCCCAUCCUGGCUGGUCCCUCCAGCCCCGCCUGGCUCUCCUGCCUCCCAGUGGCUCCCGCUCACAAUGGCUCUGGCCUCACAGCCACAGGGUCCCGGGGCUUUCGCUCCAUGUCCUGGACCAGGCAUCCUGCCUCUAACCCUCCCUGCCCUUGGGAUCUGAUCUUUCCCCCCACACCCUGGGCAUGCUCUGCUUUCUGGUGCUAGGGCGAAAGAUCACAGGGGAGGCAUCGUGGUACAGGGGGUACAAAAGCCACUGAUGAGAUGGCCCCUUAUGCUGGAUUCUAGUCCUGACACUUCACUCUGCAGUUUCAAGGGUCACCCAAGACAGGCUGCUUAGAGCCUCUGUUUUCUCAGCUGUGAAAGAGCAAGAAGCUGGCAGAGGCACUCCGCUGAGAGUGCAGGUCUUGCUUGGGCUCAAAUUCUGGCUCCACUACCUCCUGUGUGACCUCAAGCCAGCUGCUUAAUCUCUCUGUGCUAAUCUUCUCCAUCGAUAAAGCGCUAAUGAAAGCAGCGGCUCGCUGGGCUGUCCAGAGGGUUAAAGGAGAAGCCUGGCACAGAGGAAGCGUGACGGAGGUGCCGGCAGUUCAGUCUCAGGCAGAC